rnacentral:rRNA from 1 species
UGGGGAAUAUUGCACAAUGGGCGCAAGCCUGAUGCAGCCAUGCCGCGUGUAUGAAGAAGGCCUUCGGGUUGUAAAGUACUUUCAGUCGGGAGGAAGGUGGUAAGGUUAAUAACCUUGGCGAUUGACGUUACCCGCAGAAGAAGCACCGGCUAACUCCGUGCCAGCAGCCGCGGUAAUACGGAGGGUGCAAGCGUUAAUCGGAAUUACUGGGCGUAAAGCGCACGCAGGCGGUCUGUCAAGUCGGAUGUGAAAUCCCCGGGCUCAACCUGGGAACUGCAUUCGAAACUGGCAGGCUAGAGUCUUGUAGAGGGGGGUAGAAUUCCAGGUGUAGCGGUGAAAUGCGUAGAGAUCUGGAGGAAUACCGGUGGCGAAGGCGGCCCCCUGGACAAAGACUGACGCUCAGGUGCGAAAGAGUGGGGAGCAAACAGG